CCUACGGGAGGCAGCAGUGGGGAAUAUUGGGCAAUGGGCGCAAGCCUGACCAGCAACGCCGCGUGAAGGAAGAAGGCUUUCGGGUUGUAAACUUCUUUUAUCAGGGACGAAGCAAGUGACCGUAACUGAUGAAUAAGCCAAGGCUCAAUACGUGCCAGCAGCCGCGGGAAUACGUAGGUGGCAAGCGUUAACCGGAUUUACUGGGUGUAAAGGGCGUGUAGGCGGGAGUGCAAGUCAGAUGUGAAAACUAUGGGCUCAACCCAUAGCCUGCAUUUGAAACUGUACUUCUUGAGUGCUGGAGAGGCAAUCGGAAUUCCGUGUGUAGCGGUGAAAUGCGUAGAUAUACGGAGGAACACCAGUGGCGAAGGCGGAUUGCUGGACAGUAACUGACGCUGAGGCGCGAAAGCGUGGGGAGCAAACAGGAUUAGAUACCCCGGUAGUC
rnacentral:rRNA from 1 species